rnacentral:lncRNA from 1 species
GUAACAUUUAAAUUCAUAGUGUAUACUACAACUGGGUUAGUUCCUUCUAGUUUCCAUUAAAGCAAUCAAUCUAGAAUUAAAAACUGGUUUUGGAUAAAUGUAAUGAAGAAAUAAACGUCAAGAACUUACAAAAUAAAACUUUCAUAAGACAGAUAAGAGAAAAUGGAGCAAGAGGUGAGGUCACCUGUCACUUCGGUUCUAUGGAAAGAGAACUCAUUACCUGCUCUCCCCAAACAUUAGGUAGCCUCCCAGAACAACACACACACACCCCUAUCUGCUACUGUCAAUUCAGUAGGGCGACCUACUAAGGUCUCUAAAAUGGGUUACAGUAUCAGACGAUAUACAACGCCACAAAGCAUCACAUAAAUGGGUAACUGUACAAAAAACAGUGCAUGUCAAAGUAAUAACUAGAUGAAUUUUUUCUUUCGGAAUGCAAGCCGUCUAAGCUGAUCUCCAAGAGCCUUUGCAAGUAAACCGCGGCACAAAAGUCCUUAAGCCUAAGCCUCACUUGCUGAAGCCCUCCACCGCGGGCGUUCCUACCAGGCGGUGACCAACUUUUGUGCUUCCCACAAUAGCGCUAAAGCGAUGCGGUGCAUCCCGCUGGUGAAACUCGGCAUGUGGCACUUAAAACGCCAAACCAGAAUCGCCCACAGCGCUGGCUGCAGGGCUCUCCCGGUUCCGCCGCGAUAACGCCGGGAGAUUAUCUGCAUUCAGCGCGAGGGCUUCAGGUCCAGGAAGAGAAGCGAAGCGAUAGCACGCGCACCCGGACCACGCUCAAGGCAAGGAAGCCCCAGCGCCCGGUGGGCCCAGGAAGCUGCCUAACCAGGGCAAAGCUCCGUGCCCUUUUCUAUGAAAGGGAGCGUGUGGCCGGCGGAACCAAAAGUAAACACGGAAAAUUCACUAGGAAUUUCCUGAUGGCCUACCGCGCACACGCAGGACACGAGUUAAGACGCUGGGAAGCCCAGAGAGUGCCUGCUAAAGCUCAAGGCCAGUACCGAGGACCAGGAAUGCAAGGACGUGCAAGGUGUGCACGAGGGCUGUGCUCACAGAGCCCAGGCUCCUCUGGAGAGGAGGGCACUUGUCCAGGAAGGGGAUGAUGAACAUGUGUGGACGAGAACUCUACAUACAUGCAAACAUGAAAAGAAUUCAUAAAAAAAGAAGAACCAGGAUAUAUCAUGUAUAGGUACCAAUUCCCUAUGAGGAAUGUGAUCAUUAUGUAUAUCUAAAUUGUACCAGUAAACUUAAAGAAAAAGGAAAUAAUUCACUUGCUUUUAAUUUUUUUUUUUUUUUUUUUUUUUUUUGGUCUUUUUGAGACAGGGUCUCAUUAUGCAGUUCAGGAUGGCCUUAAACUCACUUAUGGUCUGGGUGUGGUGGUGCAUGCCUGUGAUCCCAGCACUCGGGAGGCUGAG